UGAAAUAAUCGUCACAAAUGAAUUUAAUUUUUAAUUCCGACCCACGGCAGCUUCAAAUUAAACGAUUAAUAUUGCCAAGUGGAGAGAACCGAACUGAUUUUUUAUUUAGAGCAAAUAUUUUUCGUCACGCUACUUUGUUGUUUGGCGUCAAAGGGGUCAUCUAAAAUUAACCACAAUCCUUAUUACCGGUGCCCAAUUUCUCGUAGUAUUUUUGUUUGUUUUAUAACUUCAUUAAAAUUUAAUAAUCGUGUUCUAUUCUUGUAAGUGUCGCAUUGUCUUUGACGGUCUCGUCGCUCUUUUGAGCGUUGUCACUUGAAUGUUUUUUAUGUUCUUGAGGUGAAUUUUGUAGUCGUGUCAACACUCGACAAGGCGUCACUCCAUUUCUGUCAGCUGACAAUUUGAGUAUGUUUGAAUUAAUAUUCUGAAUCGCUUUCGUAAUUCUCGCAGCACGAUCUUGGCCUGGCUCACUUCAUCACGACUGUUUCUUUCCGUUUGUCAUAAAUUCGUCGCGUUGCCCACAAACCCCGCAUUCCGGAAAGGAUUUUUGGCUUGUGAUUGCUAAAAGCGCACAUAACGCGUCUGCCGUUUAUGUAACGUGGAUGCCGUCAGAAACUUAGACAAUGGCGCUCCUACUUACUAUUCUGAACAAAUACCUACAAUUAAUUCCUUUACUUAUUGUUGUUUUCUUUUGCAGGUACGUAUUCUUAUCCUGCCGUUCCUUAUAAAGUAAAUUAACAGUAUGGUACGUGUUAAUGUAGCAAUCUAAAUCUCGAGUUCGGCCAAAAAAUUCGUUUUGGGACAACUCUAUCCCGGAAUGGUGCUACCAUUAAUUAUAGAAAUUAAUGUCUUAUGAAUAAUUAUUGUCUAAUAAUUAUAAAUUUUAAUUAAACACCGUUUUAUUACUUGCUAAAAGCCGAGAUUAGAUAAUAAUGUUUCGUGUGAUUUAUUAUAGGCGGGGAUCUCGGUUUCGGAACCACUUUGUGUCGGGGAGCUUGGAGCUUUUGGCUUUUUCCUGCGAUUGUGGGAAUUUCAAAAUAAAAUACAGGGUCAUAAUGGUAAUCUAAAGUAGGAAACGGACAUAAACGUAGCAUAAUGGCACAACAUACACCACGUCAUGUGAAUGGUGUUCAUGCAACAGAGAUACAAAACAAGUCUUCUGCAUUUCUAGAAAAUGGUUAUGAUGUUGAAGUUGAAGCACAGUUAUUUCAACUCUAACCUUGAGACAAGUUGCUUCGGUCUUCUGGGCAAAUAUUCCUGUAGACAUCCACUAACAACCAUAAAAACAAAUUCCUUUAAUAUACAUUAAAGUUUUAAAUAUAGGCAACAAUUACAACAUUCCAACCAAA